rnacentral:misc_RNA from 1 species
UCCUGGUUAACCCAGGCAGUCUCGUUAGAGUUCCCACCUAAAAUGUUGGCAAAUAACGAUAAGGGUUGCGCUCGUUGCGGGACUUAACCCAACACCUCACGGCACGAGCUGACGACAGCCAUGCAGCACCUGUGCAGCAGUCCCGAAGGAAGGCGCCAUCUCUGGCGCUGUCUACUGCAUGUCAAGUCUGGGUAAGGUUCUUCGCGUUGCAUCGAAUUAAACCACAUGCUCCACUGCUUGUGCGGGUCCCCGUCAAUUCUUUUGAGUUUCAGCCUUGCGACUGUACUCCCCAGGCGGUAUACUUAACGCGUUAGCUCCGGCACAGCCAGGGUUGAUUCCGGCUACACCAAGUAUACAUAGUUUACGGCAAGGACUAC